rnacentral:rRNA from 1 species
GCUUACGGUACACCGCCCUGGUUCACGCCCGAUCUCGUUUGAUCUCGGAAGCUAAGAUAGGUUGGGCCUGGUUAGUACUUGGAUGGGAGACCGCCUGGGAAUACCAGGUGCUGUAAGCU